ensembl:lncRNA
GCCUUUAUCCCCUCUCUCUGCAUCACCAGUCUCUGAGCCUUUAUCCCCUCUCUCUGCAUCACUAGUCUCUGAGCCUUUAUCCCCUCUCUCUGCAUCACCAGUCUCUGAGCCUUUAUCCUCUCACUGUAUCAUCAUCUUUGUGUUUGUAUCUGGUUUGAUUGGAACUAGUUUAUAAGCCCAGUUGUUUACAUUGUACAUAGCGCUACAGAGUCCUAUAUCAGAAACAGGGUGAAGAUUGACAAGCAGCACGAGUAUCUAUGACUUGAAUGCAAAUCCUUCAGUUUGGUAAAAAGAAAAACACCUUUUUACAGUGUCAUGUAUAUAUUUCUAAAUUAUUGGGUGUUUGUUUUACAUUGGGUCCCAGAUGUAUAACCCAGUCUGUAAUCCAAUGCUUGUUACCCUCUUGCAGUGCUUCAUUCUCUACCAUUAUUAAUGUGCUUCCCAAAUAGCAUUAUUCCUUAUAUGGUGGAGCACUUUGGACAAAGGCCUGCAUGGCUUUGGUCAACCGCUGUUCACUAUACAAGGAACUGUGUUGUUUGGGACACAUGUUCCUUAUUAAUAUCCCUCAGAUGAUUCUUCAUUUCUUGAAGGGAAAACAACAUUUAUGGAAAAAAGAAAUCACCUGAGUGUUUUUUUUGUUCUUUACAAUGAAAUCAACAUGAUCUAGAGGAGAGGAAAAAAAUGGAUCACCAUUGGGAAAAGAAUGAUCUCAAAGCAUAAUUAGCCCCCAGAUAUUUUUAAAAAUGGUUUGUUGUAUAUUCCUGCUGUAUUUUGUCUGUAAAGGCAUUUUACUUCAAUAAAGUGCAUUCAUUCUGAGGUUAACGUCAUACUCUAGCUUUCUUUAUACCAAGUGUACAUUUUACAUAACAUUGAAUAUUCUUCACAAGAAAGUGAGGAAAAUAUGCAGGAUAUAAAGGGACUCCAACUGUAUAAUAUAAAUAUUUAUCAAAUAUUGCUGUUCAAUUUAAACCUGUUCAGUCAAGGCUGCACAACAAAAAUAUUAUCCCCAAAGUAAAUAUCAGUUACUUUCUGGGACUUAAUGUCAUAUCAAACCGGGGAAAUGUACCGUGUCAGGUUAAUUUCAUACCAAAAUUGCAGUCCCCUCUGCAAGAUGUGACUAGGAAAUAUAUUAAAGUUUGGGUUAGCAUAGGCUUGCAAGAUUCUUGUGUGGCUUCUGAAUUUAGAAGACACCAGAGGAUGAG